CAGUCGCCACGGUAAGACGGAGGGUGCUAGCGUUGUUCGGAAUCACUGGGCGUAAAGGGCGCGUAGGCGGCCUGUUAAGUCGGAUGUGAAAGCCCGGGGCUCAACCCCGGAACUGCAUCCGAGACUGGCAGGCUUGAGACCGGGAGAGGAGGGUGGAAUAUCCAGUGUAGAGGUGAAAUUCGUAGAUAUUGGAUGGAACACCGGUGGCGAAAGCGGCUCUCUGGCCCGGAUCUGACGCUGAGGCGCGAAAGCGUGGGGAGCAAACAGGAUUAGAUACCCCUGUAGUCCCUGUCUCUUAUAA
rnacentral:rRNA from 1 species